rnacentral:rRNA from 1 species
CGGACGGGUGAGUAACGCGUAGGAAUCUACCCAGUAGUGGGGGACAACCAGAGGAAACUCUGGCUAAUACCGCAUAAUCCCUACGGGGGAAAAGAGGGCCUCUUCUUGAAAGCUCUUGCUAUUGGAUGAGCCUGCGUGAGAUUAGCUAGUUGGUAGGGUAAAGGCCCACCAAGGCGACGAUCUCUAGCUGGUCUGAGAGGACGAUCAGCCACACUGGGACUGAGACACGGCCCAG